GCCGCCCCCGCCCGCAGGCCUAACACAUGCAAGUCGAGCGGGGAAGAGUAGCUUGCUACUUUACCUAGCGGCGGACGGGUGAGUAAUGCUUAGGAAUCUGCCUAUUAGUGGGGGACAACAUCUCGAAAGGGAUGCUAAUACCGCAUACGUCCUACGGGAGAAAGCAGGGGACCUUCGGGCCUUGCGCUAAUAGAUGAGCCUAAGUCGGAUUAGCUAGUUGGUGGGGUAAAGGCCUACCAAGGCGACGAUCUGUAGCGGGUCUGAGAGGAUGAUCCGCCACACUGGGACUGAGACACGGCCCAGACUCCUACGGGAGGCAGCAGUGGGGAAUAUUGGACAAUGGGGGGAACCCUGAUCCAGGCAUGCCGCGUGUGUGAAGAAGGCC
rnacentral:rRNA from 1 species